AACAGCUCCAGUGUCCAUAUGACUGACGUCAGCAGUGACGCCAGGAGCAUUGACAACAUCGUAGAGAUGAAGUAAAGAGACAAGAGGGUUCAUCUUCAUCAGCAAAGAUAAAGAUUGUCCAAUUCCACCUGCAGCUCCAAGAAUUGCUACUUUGAAUCCUGGAUUACCACCUUUAGCUCUGCAGUUUUCCCGUCCGAUUACAGAGUUCUUGGCCUCCAUCU
rnacentral:sRNA from 1 species